GUCGAAUGAAUGCUUGUAUUAUGCUACUCUUUUUUUUUUAAACUCAAUCAUCAAGAUAUUCAUUAAUAGAAAGAGAAUACAACUCCAUGGUCUUACAAAAAUAAUGAACCAUGGAUUAAAAUGAGAAUUGUAUUCUUGAAGCAGAGGAAACAGCACCCUGUAGAACAAAAUUCCCUACCUAAACAGAACAAAGAUAUCCAUAUACAAACAACCUAAACAGACGUAGCAAUAAGAGAAUCCUAAGAGACCUCAGAUGAAGCACAAAAAUAAGAACCUAAAUGAAGGCCCAGAUCUGAAGCAGCAGCAACAGAACCAAAAACCAUGGACAGAAAAGUAGCCACACCACCAAACAACAGCCUUACCGACAUGCAUAAAACAUUUCAGCCUUAUCAACCCCAAGUUUUGCAAGUGAAUCAGCCAUGGAAUUAGCUUCAGGCAACGUAGGUACGAACACAAUGUUGGGAAUUUUUGAACGCUUUUCAAGAAUGAGGUUACUUUCAAAUGGAAGCAUUUUGUCCGAUUCCAACUUGUCGACAUCAUCAAGGUUAGGUCAAUGGCCCUUCUGUUUCUAUCUCAAUUACUUUCAAAGUGUAGUUUCGUUGAACCCCUCAUGACUGUCAGCAGGUAGAACAAAGAUUGACCCUCGUCCUCUGACCGUUUGGUGUCACCACCGUUUUUAUGCAGUUAAACAUUCCAUAAAUACAAGGGCCACACAAAUCUUCAGCCAUGAAAGAUCAGCAAAAAUCAUUAUCCUGUAAUAUUAUACGCCAUGUUAGAUCAUGGGAAAGGGUGGCGAAAAUUAGUUGUCGCAUUUUUAUAUUUGAGAGUUUAGAGCUUUCCUCCUCCUUUCACCAUAUAUUCUCUUAUCAGUUCAAGAAUAAUUGCCUUCCUGGAAAGCGAAUUCUUCCACUUUCCAAGGACCUAGUUUAUUUAACAGCAACUAUAAUUGGAUAUUUAUUAUUCUAUAUACGUGGUAUUAUCAUGUUGCUAUUAAUAUGCCAUUCUUUGUUAUACAACCUCCCGGACAGACAGACGGUUCACUUCCUGUAUCGGCGCAGACAAUCGAGAUUUUAUCAUUGCCAUUGUUGAGGGAUGAAGGAUGAGAUUUUAUUUUUUUGAUGGUUAAGGAGUGAGGAAUCCGUAGGAGCUGGGGAUCAUUAAUUACUGGGUUUAAUCCUAAUAGUAAGAGAUAUAGUAGAAGUUUACAGGGUUUUUGCCAUCGACAUGAAAUUCUGGCUGAACCACGUACGAAGGAAAUUGAGUUUCAUGAUCCGGUUCAACCAUGUUGAAGAAUGGCCUCAUCUUGCUGUUAAGAUGAGUCACAGGUUGGAAAUUGUGGGAAUUUAGAGUUGAAGAUGUAGGAGUAGCUAUGCCGUUUUGGGAAGAUAGCCAAGUCGUUUCAUAUGUAAAGCUUUUGUCAGUAUUUUACUUUUUAGUUACUAAGUUACCUUUUCUAAAUUACCGUUAGGAGUUGUUAUUUCUUUGCUAUACUGUGUCGUUUUACUUGUGUAGCCGUUAGGCUUGUGUGGCUGUCUUGGGAAUCUGAGCACAACUCCUUAUGCAAUAUUCUUUUAGCUGUAUUCUUUCAACUGUUUCUAGAGAACCAGGUGUCCUUAGCUGGUUUAAAAUUUUUUUUCUUAUUUCUCUCUCAUGUAAUCACCUAUAAAUACCGUUCUUUCGGUUUUUAAUGAAAGCAAAAGUGCACCGUUUUGUGCUUAUCAUU
rnacentral:sRNA from 1 species